rnacentral:tRNA from 1 species
GGAGGGGUGACCGAGCGGCUAAGGUACCGGUCUUGAAAACCGAGGUCAGGGUAAUGCCUGCGUGGGUUCGAGUCCCACCCCCUCCG